GUGCAGCCCUAAAAAAAAGAAAAAGAAAAACAAAAAACAAACAACAACCAGUGCCAGAUUUGCUUUGGGACUUUGGGGAAGGCACAGGGGGCAUCAUGCACCACCAGGCUCCCUUCUGGGUAUAACGUGGGACUUCAAGAGAACAGGUCGGGGGUGGGGUGAUGGAACAUUAAGAAACCAGGGGUGAGGAGGGUUCUGGCCACACUGACCCAGGAGGGUUCCUGCUGACAGUGUGGCCGGAUGAUCAAGCCUGAUAGGCUUCAGCAUGAGGAGCCCAAUCAGAUGUCAGGUAAUCAGAUACGGAGGGUGGGGAUUCGGGUUAAAUCCACGGACGUGAUUUCUCCCUCAAACUAGGUGAUGCAGGGACGGACGCUCGGACACAGAAGUCCCUAAAGUCAGAUGCCUGAUACUGCCCAGUCCAGAAGACAACCUGUUGGGUGGUAACCCUGUCUCUGUCAAUGUCCCAUCAGAGCUGUAACCAUUUAUCCAAUACCAGUGGCUUUGCAGCGACACAGGCAGCUCCAGAUGCCAGAGGACACCUGGGGGCACUGCAGCCAAACCCAGCCUCUGUCCAGCGGCCCCCGUGAAGCCUCCGAGACAGAGUUGGGGUGAAGCAGAAAAACCAGCUCUAUGGCUCUGCCAGGCACAGGAGGCCCCGGCAGACCUCUACGUAGAAAGGAGCCACGAGGGACAGAAGCAGUUCAGCAAGGACGAGACCUCGUGUGCAAAGCCGGUUCGACUUAGGUCGUGGCCAAGGCCGGGCUGCACGUCCUGGAGACUCUUGCCACUCGUUUUUAGCUGUCACCAUGUCUCCUUGUCAUGAAGUCUGGAGUCAGCGUUUUGAGACGGAAGGGAGGCCUGGGAGGCGAAAGGCGAAGUCUUUUCCUUCCCAACCCAAGGACUCAGGGGCUGGUCCCCGGUGUCCACACCUUCCCCCGAAGUCUUCCCAUGUGCAAAGGAAUCCCCACCUGCUGUUGAAACCCAUGCGGAGUGUUUCCUAUGGCCGCCCCGCGCCCCCAUCCUGACACAGACUUGGAUGGACAGAGAUGAUCUUGCGUGUGUGCUCGUGCGAGCGUUCUUGCUGUGCCAGGCCACAGGGAAGGCCUGCUCUGGGGGCUACACAGUCAUGCUUCCAGAAAGCUGUUUUAGUCUGGGCUGUGUGCUGCAGGCACGGUCCACCCCAGGGCACCUGGUUUCUGCCCCUCCCUGGGCUCCGGUUUGAGGGCGGGGAUGCCCUUCUUGGUAGGACGCAUCAGCCGGGGCCACUGUGUGCGUCCUCCAGCGGAUCAAGCGUGCGGUGGUGGGAAGUUCCCCGAGGUUCAGGGUUCCGGGCCGGUAGAGACGCCCUUGUCUGGCACACAAGGGCUCCGCAGCGGGGGUCUCUGGGAGGGCAGCGAGCAGGUGGCCCGUGCCGAUCUCGCCGAGCGUGAGAGCCACGCCAGAGGCGUGGGGGGAGCACUGGCCAGCCUGCACUGAGGGAAGACGGGGUGGUUCUUGUCCCUGUGCUGUCGGACCUUCCGCUGGAGAGCAGGGGAUGGAUAGACCUCGGCUCUGGCCAGCGCCGGGUGGAGAAGUCUCUGGAAUCACGUGACGGGCAAUUCCAAAGUCACGGGUUAGGGGGAAUUCCCCAGCCCCACCCCACAUCCUGAGACUCGCCCCCCUCCCACCCAGAGAUUCUCCAUAUGCUUUGAUUUCUGGGGGGUCCCGGACACUGAGUUCCACACACACCUCGAAACAUGCAAAAAGGUUGUGGCAGGCGGCACUCAGGACAGCCGUGAGUCACAGAUGGUAUCUCCCCUUUUCUGGGCCCACAUCCCCCUGGCCCGCCCCAGCUGUUCCCCUGCGCCCUUAUCACUGGCCAUCAGUGUCGGAAAUGACUGUCCCAGGCUGAGGUGCAUCUCCCCAAAAAACCCAGCUAAGAACCCGUGUGCCUGGUGGUGCCGGGAUGUUUGAAGAUGCAGGUGGAACAUGCAGGAGAAGGGGUGCCAGUCCACUGCAUGGACUGGAGGGGACAGCAGCCCUAGAGCUGUGGAGAAACUGACGCAGCAGCGGGGAACCUGUCAGGCUGGGCUGUGCUGUGUGACCUCAGGCAGCAUAGGGACUUCUCUGAGCCUGGUCUCCUGACAGUUGUGAAAACCUACCGCCUCUCCCAGGGCAGCUCUCAGAAAGAAAGGGGUGGACAGAAGCAGGAGCUGGCCAAGCCCUAUUGACUUGGGGUAGUUAGACCCCUGUACAGCCUGGCACAGGCUUUAUCCAAUCCCUAAGGGCAGGCAUCACUCCUGGGAUGUCACUUAGCUGUAGCACUUACAGGAGAAAAUCGAUUUUCAGGUGAACAGAUUUCAGGCUUAUAAAAGGAAGUAUUUGUCUGUGUCUCAGGGAGGGUGUGGAUUUAACAAAUUAAUGCAAUCUGUUGACCUUAGAAAGCCCAAUCCAUUGCAUGGAGCCAGUGAACACAACACAGACUGCAGCUGCAGGCACUACUGCUCACACUGGCUAUGCUGGGUCUUGGGUAUUUUUCUGUGUCCUCUGAAAUUUGUGCAGAUACAAUGUGGCAAGCUUCUGCUGUAACUGUGAGUUUACAGAUGCUCUGGAAUGGAAACAAAAUCCCCCAUCA